rnacentral:rRNA from 1 species
GUCUACAGCCAUACUACCCUGAACAAGCCCGAUCCCAUUUGAUCUCGGGAGCUAAGCAGAGUUGGGCCUGGUUAGUACUUGGAUAGGAGACCACCUAGGAAGACCAGGUGCUGUAGGUG